GGCGCCUGCGCACCGCGACCGCCGCCUCAGCCAAUCGACGCGGGUGUCGAUAAGAACGUGCGCGCGCGGUAUUGAACGCACGAGCGCGGGUCGCUUAAGGACCCAGACUAGGAAGCGCUCGCCGGUUUCCGCGCGCCCGUCGCGACCGCGGUUGUGGAGAGGUUGACGAUGAUGAUGGCUUGCGCGGUCGGGACGCGCGCGCCCGUGGCGCGCCUCCCGCGCGCGUCCGC
rnacentral:lncRNA from 1 species